GACGAACGCUGGCGGCGUGCUUAACACAUGCAAGUCGAGCGAGGACUUCGGUCCUAGCGGCGGACGGGUGAGUAACGCGUGGGAACGUGCCCUUUGCUACGGAAUAGCCCCGGGAAACUGGGAGUAAUACCGUAUGUGCCCGAGAGGGGAAAGAUUUAUCGGCAAAGGAUCGGCCCGCGUUGGAUUAGGUAGUUGGUGGGGUAAUGGCCUACCAAGCCGACGAUCCAUAGCUGGUUUGAGAGGAUGAUCAGCCACACUGGGACUGAGACACGGCCCAGACUCCUACGGGAGGCAGCAGUGGGGAAUCUUAGACAAUGGGGGAAACCCUGAUCUAGCCAUGCCGCGUGAGCGAUGAAGGCCUUAGGGUUGUAAAGCUCUUUCAGUGGGGAAGAUAAUGACGGUACCCACAGAAGAAGCCCCGGCUAACUCCGUGCCAGCCGCCGCCGUAAAAC
rnacentral:rRNA from 1 species